rnacentral:lncRNA from 1 species
AUGAACCUUAAAUAGUGAAAAUUGAAAUUUCUAAUUUGAUUGCCGAUUGUAUCUAGUGUAGACCUGACAAACGGGCGAGUUAGGUAACCUGCGGGGGAGGGGGGUCAUUGUACCCGUGGGUUACUUGGGCAUGGGUAAAAUUUAUCUGUAAAUUUUUGGGUAGCCAACACCUUUAACCAUACCCGCCCACGAGUGGGUGGUUGGGAAUGCGGGUUACCCGUAAUUUUUUUUCUUUUUUGCUCUUAUAUUUUUAAAAUGUAAAACACAUAUAUAUAAAUUUUAAAAGCCUAAUAUAACUCAUUAUUUAAAAUAUCAUUACAUACAAUAAAAAUAUUUAAAGUUUUAAAAUAAAAAUAUUUCAUAAUAUAAAAGACACG